UUGUCAAGUGGGAUAAUCCUUAGCUGUCCCUCUUUUCAGAGGGCAGGUAGAACAUGAUGAUUGGAGUGCGCAUGAUGUAUGAUAAAUGUCUCUGUGUGAUUAAGCCUCAUAAUACCCUAAUUGCUCCUAUCUGAU